rnacentral:misc_RNA from 1 species
GAUGAAGAACGCAGCGAAAUGCGAUAAGUAAUGUGAAUUGCAGAAUUCAGUGGAUCAUCGAAUCUUUGAACGCACAUUGCGCCCCCUGGUAUUCCGGGGGGCAUGCCUGUCCGAGCGUCAUUACAACCCUCAAGCUCAGCUUGGUGUUGGGCCCCGCCGCCCCGGCGGGCCCUAAAGUCAGUGGCGGUGCCGUCCGGCUCCGAGCGUAGUAAUUCUUCUCGCUCUGGAGGUCCGGUCGUGUGCUCGCCAGCAACCCCCAAUUUUUUUCAGGUUGACCUCGGAUCAGGUAGGGAUACCCGCUGAACUUAAGCAUAUCAAUAAGCGGAGGA